rnacentral:rRNA from 1 species
GAGAUUAGCUUGCUUAAUCUGUCAGCUAAGUGGCGCACGGGUGAGUAAUGUAUAGGUAAUAUGCCUCUUACUAAGGGAUAACAAAUGGAAACGUUUGCUAAUACCUUAUACUCCUUAUUAACAGAAGUUAAUAGGGGAAAGAUUUAUUGGUAAGAGAUUAGCCUGUAUUGUAUCAGUUAGUUGGUGGGGUAAUGGCUUACCAAGACUAUGACACAUAACUGGUUUGAGAGGAUGAUCAGUCACACUGGAACUGAGACACGGUCCAGACUCCUACGGGAGGCAGCAGUGGGGAAUAUUGCACAAUGGACGAAAGUCUGAUGCAGCAACGCCGCGUGGAGGAUGACACAUUUCGGUGUGUAAACUCCUUUUAUAUGAGAAGAUAAUGACGGUAUUAUAUGAAUAAGCACCGGCUAACUCCGUGCCAGCAGCCGCGGUAAUACGGGGGGUGCAAGCGUUACUCGGAAUCACUGGGCGUAAAGAGCAUGUAGGCGGAUUAAUAAGUUUGAAGUGAAAUCCUAUAGCUUAACUAUAGAACUGCUUUGAAAACUGUUAAUCUAGAAUGUGGG